AAAAUGUGGGAAUCCUGCUUUUCCCGCGCUAUCUCACUAAAUUUGCAGUCUCUGGAGGAUGUCAUCCAUAAUAUUUACUUGCUGUGGCCUUACUUAUUGUGAUGCAAAUCGUUCCCCCAGAAUGCGUUAUAUAUAUUGCAAUUACUCAGUUACGGUUUCUGCACACCUCAUAAAAGAAAUUCAAGAAAAAUGAAAUUUUAUUUCAAUCUUUCAGCCACAGUAUGUUCCGAUCGGCAUUUAGGAAUCUCAUGGAAAGGUAAAGAGGUGUGGUGGUCCACAGAAAAACAAAGUCGACCUAAAUAAGUGACCUGAAUACCACUGUAAUGGUUAAUGAUAAUUAUUUGCGUUUGAGGAACUAACUUCGUUACCGUGACGAAUUAGCAAAUAAUUGAGUUUCUGCAGUAACGCAGGUGUAUCACAGGUGUGAAAUCACGCACACAGGGCGUGAUUCACAGGUGUAUGGUAAGUACUUAUAGUGCUACAGGAGUAGUCUGUUCAUUCGACGCUUGUCACGACACCCAGGAAGCAACAAGAUCGUUGUUUAAGGACAUGGAGUGAUUCUUUUCAGAAAGAAACCCCAGAGAAGAUUGGUUGUUUGCGCUAAGGCUCUGGUGCACGUCCCCCAUUUUUUUGGCCUUCGUGCUUUCGGGAGGUUUUUUUAGGGGUUGCGUGGCUGGCAAACAACGUAUGCAGCUAUUUAUGCUGUGCUUUACUGUUUGGCUUACUCGAUUACGAAAAAUCGUGAUGUUUGGUAUAUGUUUGGAAUUGGUUUGAUGAUCGUGUUUGGAAUCUGAUGUUUCGGUGUUCUAUUGCAUUUUCGAACUGCCGUUCUCGUUACGAUUGUACCUUUGGCAAAUAAAAGUCUUCCUGCGGUGUCCACGCACUCGCGCCCAUCCUAA